rnacentral:rRNA from 1 species
GAUGAACGCUGGCGGCGUGCCUAAUACAUGCAAGUCGAGCGAACAGACGAGGAGCUUGCUCCUCUGACGUUAGCGGCGGACGGGUGAGUAACACGUGGAUAACCUACCUAUAAGACUGGGAUAACUUCGGGAAACCGGAGCUAAUACCGGAUAAUAUAUUGAACCGCAUGGUUCAAUAGUGAAAGACGGUUUUGCUGUGACUUAUAGAUGGAUCCGCGCCGCAUUAGCUAGUUGGUAAGGUAACGGCUUACCAAGGCAACGAUGCGUAGCCGACCUGAGAGGGGGAUCGGCCACACUGGAACUGAGACACGGUCCAGACUCCUACGGGAGGCAGCAGUAGGGAAUCUUGCGAAAUGGGCGAAAGCCUGACGGAGCAACGCCGCGUGAGUGAUGAAGGUCUUCGGAUCGUAAAACUCUGUUAUUAGGGAAGAACAAAUGUGUAAGUAACUAUGCACGUCUUGACGGUACCUAAUCAGAAAGCCACGGCUAACUACGUG